CGAUAGCUCAAUUGGUAGAGUACCGGUCUCCAAAACCGGUUGUUGCAGGUUCGAUUCCUGCUC
rnacentral:tRNA from 1 species